GACCGCGAGGCAGAGCAAACCCCUAAAAAGACCAUCCCAGUUCGGAUUGCAGGCUGCAACCCGCCUGUAUGAAGUUGGAAUCGCUAGUAAUCGCGGAUCAGCAUGCCGCGGUGAAUACGUUCCCGGGCCUUGUACACACCGCCCGUCACACCAUGAGAGUCGGGAACACCCGAAGUCCGUAGCCUAACCGCAAGGAGGGCGCGGCCGAAGGUGGGUUCGAUAAUUGGGGUGAAGUCGUAACAAGGUACC
rnacentral:rRNA from 1 species